rnacentral:rRNA from 1 species
UAGGGAAUCUUCCACAAUGGACGCAAGUCUGAUGGAGCAACGCCGCGUGAGUGAAGAAGGUUUUCGGAUCGUAAAGCUCUGUUGUUGGUGAAGAAGGAUAGAGGUAGUAACUGGCCUUUAUUUGACGGUAAUCAACCAGAAAGUCACGGCUAACUACGUGCCAGCAGCCGCGGUAAUACGUAGGUGGCAAGCGUUGUCCGGAUUUAUUGGGCGUAAAGCGAGCGCAGGCGGAAGAAUAAGUCUGAUGUGAAAGCCCUCGGCUUAACCGAGGAACUGCAUCGGAAACUGUUUUUUUUGAGUGCAGAAGAGGGGAGUGGAAUUCCAUGUGUAGCGGUGGAAUGCGUAGAGAUAUGGAAGAACACCAGUGGCGAAGGAGACUCUCUGGUCUGCAACUGACGCUGAGGCUCGAAAGCAUGGGGAGCGAACAGG